GGUUCCAUAGUGUAGCGGUUAGCACGCCUGCCUUAGGAGCAGAGAGUCCUGGGUUUGAUUCCCAGGGGAACCA